CUUCAGAGAUAGCAUUAACAAACCCUGCACUGUGGAAGACUCCCGAGGAAACCCUUGAUGACGGGGAGAACCCGAGACCUUCUUUACGCUUGUUCUCACAGAGCUGUAUCACCUUGCCCCAGCCGGCAGUCUGACCUUCUUGGAUGGCUCUCUGAGCAUCUUUCAAUGAAGCCAUAGCAGCCCCAGCUUCCUUAGGCUCUGCACCUUCAAUGGUCAAACCUUGGAAAGCAGUCCCUUCAGCAGACCCUGCUUCAACACAAGAAAAAGAAGACAACUGGCUGACUAAGUAUGCUUCUUCACCAUGGAUUGUAACGAGUUUUCCAUUCUUCACAAAUUUCAACUUCUGAUGUAAGGUGGAAGUAACCGCACCUGCAUCGUGUAUCCACGGUCUUCCCAGCAGGCAACUGUAGGAUGC
rnacentral:lncRNA from 1 species